CUGGCUCAGGAUGAACGCUAGCGACAGGCUUAACACAUGCAAGUCGAGGGGCAGCAUAGAAGUAGCAAUACUUGGUGGCGACCGGCGCACGGGUGAGUAACGCGUAUGCAACCUACCUAUCAGAGGGGAAUAACCCGGCGAAAGUCGGACUAAUACCGCAUAAAACAGGGGCACCGCAUGGUGAUAUUUGUUAAAGAAAUUCGCUGAUAGAUGGGCAUGCGUUCCAUUAGGUAGUUGGUGAGGUAACGGCUCACCAAGCCGACGAUGGAUAGGGGAACUGAGAGGUUGGUCCCCCACACUGGUACUGAGACACGGACCAGACUCCUACGGGAGGCAGCAGUGAGGAAUAUUGGUCAAUGGGCGGGAGCCUGAACCAGCCAAGUCGCGUGAAGGAAGAAGGAUCUAUGGUUCGUAAACUUCUUUUGCAGGGGGAUAAAGUGCAGGACGUGUCCUGUUUUGUAUGUACCCUGAGAAUAAGGAUCGGCUAACUCCGUGCCAGCCGCCGC
rnacentral:rRNA from 1 species